CUACUGUAUUGUCGAAUGUAGGUUAUCAGCGCAGAACCGACCGGCGUUCUCAAUAAUGUAGCAUCUUUCACUGUGAGAUAAUGACCACUACAGUGCAUGGGUGCCUAUCUGUGUGGUGAAAUUUCGACGAAUCAGUCUGCAGCAGGUCCCCACGAUGGACAGCUGAACAGGGCACUCAGAUCUCCAGAGGAUAUCAAAGCGGAGACGGAUUCGGGCAACCCUUGUGGAGAGAACUGCAUCCAUCGAUCCCUUUACAACAUGUGCAUCUGUGUGACCUGUCCCGAGGGCAGUAGGAUUUGUGCAAUGAAGAGCCACAGCAUUUCGGUCAAAUGAUCCAACAAUCCGAUGCGGUAGCAGAAGCAAUAAAUGUAGAGCGAAAUAAGUGCUCCUUGUUAGUGUCAA